rnacentral:rRNA from 1 species
GUGCCAGCAGCCGCGGUAAUACGUAGGGUGCGAGCGUUAAUCGGAAUUACUGGGCGUAAAGCGUGCGCAGGCGGUUAUGUAAGACAGAUGUGAAAUCCCCGGGCUCAACCUGGGAACUGCAUUUGUGACUGCAUGGCUAGAGUACGGUAGAGGGGGAUGGAAUUCCGCGUGUAGCAGUGAAAUGCGUAGAUAUGCGGAGGAACACCGAUGGCGAAGGCAAUCCCCUGGACCUGUACAGACGCUCAUGCACGAAAGCGUGGGGAGCAAACAGGACUAGAUACCCUGGUAGUCCACGCCCUAAACGAUGUCAACUGGUUGUUGGGAAUUAGUCUUCUCAGUAACGAAGCUAACGCGUGAAGUUGACCGCCUGGGGAGUACGGCCGCAAGGUCGAAACUCAAAGGAAUUGACGGGGACCCGCACAAGCGGUGGAUGAUGUGGUUUAAUUCGAUGCAACGCGAAAAACCUUACCCACCUUUGACAUGGCAGGAAGUUUCCAGAGAUGGAUUCGUGCUCGAAAGAGAACCUGCACACAGGUGCUGCAUGGCUGUCGUCAGCUCGUGUCGUGAGAUGUUGGGUUAAGUCCCGCGACGAGCGCA